rnacentral:rRNA from 1 species
CUCAGGAUAGCUGGAACUUAUGAGAAGUAGUUUUAUCAGGUAAAGCGAAUGAUUAGAGGUUUUGGGGAAGAAACUUCCUCGACCUAUUCUCAAACUUUAAAUAGGUAAGAUUUGAAGGAUACUUAAGUGAUCUUUCAAUCUCUUGAAUAUAAAGUUCUUAGUGGGCCAUUUUUGGUAAGCAGAACUGGCGAUGUGGGAUGAACCGAACGUUAAGUUAAAGUGCCAAAUAAUACGCUCAUGAGAUACCAUAAAAGGUGUUGGUUCAUUUUGACAGCAGGACGGUGGCCAUGGAAGUCGGAACCCGCUAAGGAGUGUGUAACAACUCACCUGCCGAAUGAACUAGCCCUGAAAAUGGAUGGCGCUUAAGCGUACAACUUAUACUUAACCCUUACUUGAAUUAUUAUAGCGAGUAAGGAGUAGGAGGGC